rnacentral:rRNA from 1 species
AUUGAACGCUGGCGGCAGGCCUAACACAUGCAAGUCGAACGAGUGGCAGACGGGUGAGUAAUGUCUGGGAAAGCCCCCGGUGGAGGGGGAUAAAUUCGAGAAACGGGCGCUAAUACCGCAUACCAUCGGAUGUGCCCAUAUGGGUUUAGCUAGUAGGUGGGGUAACGGCUCACCUAGGCGGCGAUCCCUAGCUGGUCUGAGAGGAUGACCAGCCACACUGGAACUGAGACACGGUCCAGACUCCUACGGGAGGCAGCAGUGGGGAAUAUUGCACAAUGGGCGCAAGCCUGAUGCAGCCAUGCCGCGUGUAUGAAGAAGGCCUUCGGGUUGUAAAGUACUUUCAGCGAGGAGGCGUUACUCGCAGAAGAAGCACCGGCUAACUCCGUGCCAGCAGCCGCGGUAAUAC